UUCCCACUGCACUCCAUUCGUGAUCGUUAUAUCAAGAGUUUACGGUUCGAGCAAGUCCAUCUUUAUCAGAUACGUGACCUUCAGUUUAAUAUCAGUAGGUACAUGACAGACAAUGAAAUAUCUGCGGCCAUGUGAAGAUUUAAAGGCCACUUUGCAUGGCAUUUAACGGAGCUGCAGGUGAACAGGGCAAUGAAGAAAUAUGGACAAGAACGAAGCACCAGUCCAUUGAAGGAGACAUCUCUCAGAGACGUUGGCGAUGGAUAGGCCACAGUAUUUGCAAGCAGGUAUCCAAUACAAGGAAAUCUCUCACCUGACACUAAGAACGUAAGAGAACGAGAGAGCGGCCUAGCAACACCUGCGGCGGAGACAUGGAUGCAGAUGCUAAGCAGUUAUAAAAAAACGUUGGGACAGAUAGAGACUCGCUUAGACCCGAAAGCCUGGAGGAAGCUGGUCGGCGGCCUAUGUCUCGGACGGGAACAAAUGCCGAAGAUGAGAUGAGAUGCUGUGAUAGGUAAUUGGCAAAUCGCCAUAGAUCAAAGACUACCGGAUUAUGCAAGACUUCAUCUCUAGAUAAUGUUUAUUGUGUUUAAAUUUUCCAACGGUAUAAACGCCGCCAACCUGAGGUUUAUACUAGUUUGAAAGCAUUUAAGUGUUGAACAUGUGAAAUACAAUUUGUACACGAAAAUAAAUGUAAGAUCAGUAAAUGACAGUGUCGCCAUCAUGAGAACAUAUAUCCAGAAAACAAACAUACAAAAGUUCAUCUUGUUUUAUAAUUGCACAGUCGUUCCAGCUUCAACCGUGGUUCCCGGACACAAUUUGCUUACAACUCCGUCUAAGAGAAGUUCCAGCUUCAACCGUGGUUCCCAGACACAAGCUGCUUUCAACUUCGUCUUAGAGACGUUCCAGUUUCAACCAUUCCUCUUCUGUUGUACGACAGUGGUUCAAUUUUGUCAAUUUGAAUGUUUAAACAAUGCUUGUCAUUUCGUCGAAUCAAAAUUCAAAACAUGAUUUAAAACAGUGUCCCAAUAGGAAGGAUGUGAAGUGUAUCAUAAAAUGCUGUGGUUUUAUCAGUUCCCCUGCAUUAUUCUUAUAUCUAUUCAUAAUGAAAUUCAUUCGCCCUAGUUUAUAAACGACUUCACAUCCACGUCAAGUGGUCUGCAAACAGAUCAAACUCGACAAUGAUAGAGUGGUAAAUAUAGAUUUUCUUUGUAUCCACGUCGUAAGUAAAUGUUCAAAUACGAAUGCUUAUGUCAGUGUGGUUAUUUGAAACUGGCACUAAAGUCGCUAAUUUUUUUCUUUCCUUGGCUUGAUUAAACGUGGUUCUAUAACUUGGCUUGUUCAUUCUGAGCCAAGAGUGAACACUAACAUACCAUUAUAAGGCAGUAAAAUGGUCAUGAUCAAUUGUCUGCCAGUCGUUUUCAAAAAAUAAAACGAGCUAUAUACGCUGAAAAAAAAUGCCUCUAUAAAAUCAUUAUAUUCGCAAAGGGCCGAACUUGUUUCAUUACAAAUAGUUGAGGUACACGCAGUUUGAUGUCAGCGAUUAAACAAUUUUAGUUGUUGAAUCAUCAGCUUUACUAACAGAUGUAAUAGUUGCGCCUUCAAUACUUCAGUGUAAGUAACCUACAUGACAACACAUGG